rnacentral:rRNA from 1 species
GAGCACGUAGGUGGGUUUGUAAGUCAGAUGUGAAAGCCUUCUGUUCAACGGAAGAAUUGCGUCUGAAACUGCGAGUCUUGAGUGUAGGAGGGGAGAAUGGAACUUCUGGUGGAGCGGUGAAAUGCGUAGACAUCAGAAGGAACGCCGGCGGCGAAAGCGAUUCUCUGGCCUAUUACUGACACUCAGUGUGCGAAAGCUAGGGGUGCAAACGGGAUUAGAUACCCCGGUAGUCCUAGCCGUAAACGAUGGGCACUAAGUAGAGGGGUUUU